rnacentral:rRNA from 1 species
UACGUAGGGGGCAAGCGUUGUCCGGAAUUAUUGGGCGUAAAGAGCGCGUAGGCGGUCCGAUAAGUCGGCUGUGAAAGUCCCAGGGCUCAACCCUGGAAAGCCGGCCGAUACUGUCGGACUAGAGUCCGGAAGAGGCAAGUGGAAUUCCCGGUGUAGCGGUGAAAUGCGUAGAGAUCCGGAGGAACCCCAGAGGCGAAGGCGGCAGCCUGGUUGGCUCCUGACGCUCGGACACGACAGCAUGGGGAGCGAACGAGG